CACACAUGCACAGCGAUCA
rnacentral:piRNA from 1 species